UUUAUUUAUUUUUUUUUAUAGUUUGGUAUUGCAUACCGUUUAAGAAAAAUUUUAUUUUUAUAAAAAAUGGAAAUAAAAGGUAGAGGGUUUAGUUUGGUUUUAUUGUUUCAAAGUAAGAAUUAUGAACUUUAGUGUUGAAAAGUCGUCUUUUUUUAUAUCCGUGUUUUUUUUUAUGUUAGAAAGUUGUAUUUGCUUUUUUUAUUUUUGAAGAGUUAGGAUUUGUAGUGUUUUGAUAUUGGGUUUUAUAACUGUUUUUUAUUUUUGUCUUGUUUUUGUUUUUAUUUAUCUUUUUUUGGGUAAGUGGAUUAUUUUGAAAUUAGUAGGUUUUUGAAUUAUGUAAAGAUUUUUAAUUUAAUUGAAGAAUUGGAAGUUUCAAUCAAAUGUUUUUUUAAAGACUUAGGCUUUAAUUUAAAGUUUGCUUCUGCCCGGUGAUUAUUUUCUAAAUGGCAGUCUUAGCGUGAGGACAUUAAGGUAGCAAAAUGGUUUGUGCUUUUAUUGGGUUCCAGUAUGAAUGAAGUUAUUGGUUGAUUUUUUUUAAUUUUUUUUUUGUAAGUUUUUUUAGGUAUAAGAAUUUACUUGUGUAGUUAUACAAAGAUAAGUCUUCGGAAAUUCUUUUUGAUUUUUAAGGUUUCUUGAUUGUUGAAAAUUUACUAGGGUAGUUGGUAUAUAGUUUUUUGUAACUAAUUUUUAUUAAUGUAGAAUUACUCCGGAGUUAACAGAAAAUCAUGUCUGAUCUAGUUGUUAUAGUAGGACAAGUUUUACAUCGAUGUUGUAUUUAAGUGGGUUGAGGGGGAGAAGAUUUGAUUUUUAAGACUGUUCUUCUUUUAAUUAACUUAACGUGAUAUUAGUUUAAUUCAUUGUGAGAUAGAAUUGUUUAUCUUGUUAAUUAUUUAUUUUAAGUUUGAUUAGUACGAAAGGAAGGUUGUAAAAGGUUAAGAACUUUAAGAGGAUUGUUAGAUUCU
rnacentral:rRNA from 1 species